UUUCCGUAGGUGAACCUGCGGAAGGAUCAUUAUCGUACAAAAUGUGAGGGGCAUGCGAGGGCUGUCGCUGACCCAAAAGUCGUGCACGCCCGAGCGUGUCCUCUUGCAUAAUAAUCCAUCUCACCCUUUGUGCAUCACCGCGUGGGCAUCCUUCGGGCUCAUCUCGGAGGGGGGCUCGCGUUUUCACACAAACCCCCCUUUUAAAAGUGUAGUAUGACCACCUUUAUGCAAUCAAAACAACUCUCAACAACGGAUCCCGUGGCUCUCGCACCGACGAAA
rnacentral:misc_RNA from 1 species